rnacentral:rRNA from 1 species
CCUAACACAUGCAAGUCGAACGGUAACAGGAAGAAGCUUGCUUCUUUGCUGACGAGUGGCGGACGGGUGAGUAAUGUCUGGGAAACUGCCUGAUGGAGGGGGAUAACUACUGGAAACGGUAGCUAAUACCGCAUAACGUCGCAAAACCAAAGAGGGGGACCUUCGGGCCUCUUGCCAUCGGAUGUGCCCAGAUGGGAUUAGCUUGUUGGUGGGGUAACGGCUCACCUAGGCGACGAUCCCUAGCUGGUCUGAGAGGAUGACCAGCCACACUGGAACUGAGACACGGUCCAGACUCCUACGGGAGGCAGCAGUGGGGAAUAUUGCACAAUGGGCGAAAGCCUGAUGCAGCGACGCCGCGUGCGGGAUGACGGCCUUCGGGUUGUAAACCGCU